GUCUCUUUGAGUAUUUUUAAUAGAGAGUUGGGCCUGCUCGGUGAUAAUAUUUAAACAGAUAAAAAAAUUAUAACUGUACUAAGGUAGCAUAAUAAUUUGCCUUAUAAAUUAGGGCUAGAAUGAAUGGUUUGACGAAAAUUAUACUGUCUCUAGUUUAUUUGUUAGAAGUUAAUUUUUAUAGUGAAAAAGCUUAAAUAAUUUAAAGGGACGAGAAGACCCUAUUGAGCUUUAUAUUAUAUAUUAAAGAUUAUAAUUUUAUUUAUUUGAUAUAAUUUUGGUUGGGGUGAUCAAGGAAUAAAAAUUAGUUUAUUUAACUUCCUUAAUGAAAUUUAUAUAUGUAUGAAUAAACCAAUAAUGUUGCUUAGAAGAUAAGUUACCAUAGGGAUAACAGCGUAAUUUUUUUUGAAAGUUCUUAUUGAAAAAAGAGAUUGCGACCUCGAUGUUGGAUUAAAAUAACCUUAAGGUGUAGAGGCUUUAAUUGGUAAAUCUGUUCGAUUUUUAAAAUUUU
rnacentral:rRNA from 1 species